rfam:Thaumarchaeota archaeon 13_1_40CM_38_12 13_1_40cm_scaffold_10, whole genome shotgun sequence.
GGUGAGGUGGCAGAGUGGUUAUGCGUUCGCCUGCAGAGCGAAUUUAUAGGGGUUCAAAUCCCUUCCUCACCU